AGGCGGUCCGUCUAGUCUGAUGUGAAAUCCCCCGGCUCAACCGGGGAACUGCAUUCGAAACUGGCAGGCUAGAGUCUUGUAGAGGGGGGUAGAAUUCCACGUGUAGCGGUGAAAUGCGUAGAGAUGUGGAGGAACACCGGUGGCGAAGGCGGCCCCCUGGACUGAGACUGACGCUCAGGCGCGAAAGCGUGGGGAGCAAACAGGAUUAGAUACCCUGGUAGUCCACGCCGUAAACGAUGACUGCUUGGAGGUUGAGCCCUUCCGCCCU
rnacentral:rRNA from 1 species